UUUGAAACGGAAACUUAUUCA
rnacentral:piRNA from 1 species